rnacentral:rRNA from 1 species
UGCCAGCCGCCGCGGUAAUACGAAGGGUGCUAGCGUUGUUCGGAAUUACUGGGCGUAAAGAGCAUGUAGGCGGAUGAAUUAGUCAGAGGUGAAAGCCCCGAGCUCAACUUGGGAACUGCCUUUGAUACUGUUGUUCUUGAGUACAGUUGAGGUAGGCGGAAUGUGUCAUGUAGCGGUGAAAUGCUUAGAUAUGACACAGAACACCGAUUGCGAAGGCAGCUUACUAAACUGUUACUGACGCUGAGGCACGAAAGCGUGGGGAGCGAACAGGAUUAGAUA